CAGGACUCGCAAGACUCCUACAACCCUGUGAACUUAACUAUAAGCACGUUGCUUCGGCGGGUGUCUCGGCGAGGCUCCUCCCUCCCCGGGGCGCUAAGCCCGCCGGCAGCCUACUAUACUCUGUCUCUUUGCGUUGGCAUCUCGAGUACAAUCAAACAAGUUA
rnacentral:misc_RNA from 1 species